CCGGACGGCCCCGGGUUGAAGCGGCGGCGGAAGAGCCCGCGGCUGUCGGCGGCGCGGCCGGACGAGCCCGGGGACGAGGUGGACAGCGCGGCCCAGCCCGGCGCGCUGCACGGGGACGAGCAUCCCUUCGGGACCCCGGACUCCCUGACGCGACCCCCUAUAAGAGCGUACCGAUCGCCAGGUGGUACUUCAGUUUACUUUGAAGAGAAUCCAGUAAAGGAAAAUGCAAAGGCUUAUGACAGUAACAAAACUGAGAAACCACACAUUUCUGCACCAUUAAAAGAAAUAAAGGCUGACUUCCUUGAGAAAAAUCAAGAGUGCUACUCAACUUCUUUACCACAGAGCAGAAGUAAAUCUCGGUAUCAGUCCAGUACAGAGAAGCAGCCACAGCCUUUGGUCAAAAGUAAGACUUCUGCUUUCACUUCUGUUUCAUGUUUGUGCAACAUUUAACCAUUUUUAUGCCUUUCUAAGUAUUUCAGUUCCUGG
rnacentral:lncRNA from 1 species